rnacentral:rRNA from 1 species
CGUAGGGUGCGAGCGUUAAUCGGAAUUACUGGGCGUAAAGCGUGCGCAGGCGGUUUUGUAAGACAGGCGUGAAAUCCCCGGGCUCAACCUGGGAAUUGCGCUUGUGACUGCAAAGCUGGAGUGCGGCAGAGGGGGAUGGAAUUCCGCGUGUAGCAGUGAAAUGCGUAGAUAUGCGGAGGAACACCGAUGGCGAAGGCAAUCCCCUGGGCCUGCACUGACGCUCAUGCACGAAAGCGUGGGGAGCAAACAGGAUUAGAUACCCUGGUAGUCCACGCCCUAAACGAUGUCAACUGGUUGUUGGGUCUCUUCUGACUCAGUAACGAAGCUAACGCGUGAAGUUGACCGCCUGGGGAGUACGGCCGCAAGGUUG